UACAGAGGUCUCAAGCGUUGUUCGGAUUCAUUGGGCGUAAAGGGUGCGUAGGCGGCGCGGUAAGUCGGGUGUGAAAUCUCGGAGCUUAACUCCGAAACUGCAUUCGAUACUGCCGUGCUUGAGGACUGGAGAGGAGACUGGAAUUUACGGUGUAGCGGUGAAAAUGCGUAGAUAUCGUAAGGAAGACCAGUGGCGAAGGCGGGUCUCUGGACAGUUCCUGACGCUGAGGCACGAAGGUCAGGGGGAGCAAAACGGG
rnacentral:rRNA from 1 species